UUUAAGUGCAACCAUAAGUUUCCACGUCCAACUUUUAUCGUCCGUCUUAUUUGAAAAUUUUUUAUAAUUAAUAUUUUUGUUGUUAUGAGAUGAUAAAACAUAAAUAGUACUUUACUCGUGACUUAUAUUUUUAAUAUUUUUAUUUUUUUUAAAUAACACGGACGGUUAAAGUUGGACGCGGAAAACCAUAGCUGGACUUAAA
rfam:Oryza glaberrima chromosome 1 Oglab01_0273_24, whole genome shotgun sequence.